rnacentral:lncRNA from 1 species
CAUCACCACUGCAAAUUUGUCCCUGAAGCAAGGUCUUUUCCUGAUCCAGGAGAUAUUCAACUGAGUCUGGCACCGUUUAAGGUCUGAUAGGAGAUAUUUACCACCUAUUACUCUUUCUGAAGGCUGCUACCAGAAGGCUUCAUCUUCAUAACAAGAACCUUGGCCUCCACAACCCUCCUUAUCUUAACCCUAAGCAUUUCUGUCUUAACUCCUUAGAAAGAAACUUAACUGUUUCAACCAACUGCCAAUCAGAACACCUUUGAAUUCAACUAUCAGCUGUAAGCCCAACACCCUCCUUGAAGUUGUCCUACCUUUCUGGACCAAAUGAACAUAUACGUUACAUACACUGAUUGAUGUCUGCCUAUAAAUUCUGUCCCCCUAAACUGUGUAAAAUCAAGCUGUAACCCAACCACUGUGUUUGGAUACAUGUUCUCAGGACCUCCUGAGGCUAUGUCAUGGGUCAUGGUCCUCACAUUUGGCUCAGAAUAAAUGUCUUUAAAUAUUUUACAGAGAUUGGCUUUUUU